rnacentral:rRNA from 1 species
AUCCGGAUUUAUUGGGUUUAAAGGGUGCGUAGGCGGCCUGUUAAGUCAGGGGUGAAAGACGGUAGCUCAACUAUCGCAGUGCCCUUGAUACUGACGGGCUUGAAUGGACUAGAGGUAGGCGGAAUGAGACAAGUAGCGGUGAAAUGCAUAGAUAUGUCACAGAACACCGAUUGCGAAGGCAGCUUACUAUGGUCUUAUUGACGCUGAGGCACGAAAGCGUGGGGAUCAAACAGGAUUAGAUACCCUGGUAGUCCACGCCCUAAACGAUGAACACUCGCUGUUGGCGAUACACAGUCAGCGGCUAAGCGAAAGCGUUAAGUGUUCCACCUGGGGAGUACGGUCGCAAGAUUGAAACUCAAAGGAAUUGACGGGGGCCCGCACAAGCGGAGGAGCAUGUGGUUUAAUUCGAUGAUACGCGAGGAACCUUACCCGGGCUUGAAAGUUAGUGAAUGAUUUAGAGAUAGAUCAGUGAGCAAUCACACGAAACUAGGUGCUGCAUGGCUGUCGUCAGCUCGUGCCGUGAGGUGUUGGGUUAAGUCCCGCAACGAGCGCAACCCCUAUGUUUAGUUGCCAGCACGUUAAGGUGGGGACUCUAAACAGACUGCCUGUGCAAACAGAGAGGAAGGAGGGGACGACGUCAAGUCAUCAUGGCCCUUACGUCCGGGGCUACACACGUGCUACAAUGGAUGGUACAGAGGGCAGCUACAUAGCAAUAUGAUGCGAAUCUCACAAAGCCAUUCACAGUUCGGAUUGGGGUCUGCAACUCGACCCCAUGAAGUUGGAUUCGCUAGUAAUCGCGUAUCAGCAAUGACGCGGUGAAUACGUUCCCGGGCCUUGUACACACCGCCCGUCAAGCCAUGGAAGUUGGGGGUACCUAAAGUAUGUAACCGCAAGGAGCGUCCUAGGGUAAAACCGAUAACUGGGGCUAAGUCGUAACAAGGUAGCA